rnacentral:rRNA from 1 species
AUUGAACGCUGGCGGCAGGCCUAACACAUGCAGGUCGAACGGUAACAGGAAGAAGCUUGCUUCUUUGCUGACGAGUGGCGGACGGGUGAGUAAUGUCUGGGAAACUGCCUGAUGGAGGGGGAUAACUACUGGAAACGAUAGCUAAUACCGCAUAACGUCGCAAGACCAAAGAGGGGGACCUUCGGGCCUCUUGCCAUCGGAUGUGCCCAGAUGGGAUUAGCUAGUAGGUGGGGUAACGGCUCACCUAGGCGACGAUCCCUAGCUGGUCUGAGAGGAUGACCAGCCACACUGGAACUGAGACACGGUCCAGACUCCUACGGGAGGCAGCAGUGGGGAAUAUUGCACAAUGGGCGCAAGCCUGAUGCAGCCAUGCCGCGUGUAUGAAGAAGGCCUUCGGGUUGUAAAGUACUUUCAGCGGGGAGGAAGGGAGUAAAGUUAAUACCUUUGCUCAUUGACGUUACCCGCAGAAGAAGCACCGGCUAACUCCGUG